CGCCCCGUGACCCCGCCCCCUCCGCGGGGCGCCCGAGCGCCUCUUGGGCCUGAGCCUUCCGCGCCCAGCCCUUUCCCUCUGCCCCUUCCCACACCCCGACCCACCCCAGGCCUCGCCUGGAAGCAGAGAAUUUCAGGAAUCUCAGAAACCUCAGAACACAGACAGCUCUACGGAGCGCCUACUGCGCGCCGAGCUCUGCGCAAGGCCCCGCGGGGACUUGGAGGCCCUGGCGACAGGGGCCUCUGGGUUCCAGCCCAGCCUCCCAGCUCCACAGUAAUGCCUUCUGAUGCCAGCAGAAGUCCCAUUCUCAUGCCAAUGGAGAGAUUAUGGGAGAAGAAUGUGCCUCCGUAGGGCCCCCAAGAACGGGCCCUGGGGACAGGGACGGGUCCCCGGAGUCCGUUCCAGACUGGCCUCCCAGGACCCAGCACUGGUUCCAGCCCCACACCCAGCAGUCCUGCACCUAGUUGCCGAGGUCCUGACGCCAGGCCUGAAGCUGGGUGAGCCGCACAGAGGCUGCGCAACC
rnacentral:lncRNA from 1 species